GACGAACGCUGGCGGCGUGCUUAACACAUGCCAGUCGAACGGCGAAGCACCUUCCUUGUGGUGUGUGUGGAUGCGUGGCGCACGGGUGAGUAACACGUGAGUAACCUGCACCCUUCUUCUGGACAACCGCAUGAAAGUGCGGCUACUACGUGAUAUUCUGGGUCCGUCGCAUGUCUGGCCUGGGAAAGCUACUGGCUCGGGGGGGGGUGGGUUCGCGGUCGAUCAGUUAGUUGGUGGGGUGAUGGUCUAUCAAGGCGGUGACGGGUAGCCAGCAUGAGAAGGUGGACGGGCUCACUGGAGAGGAGACACGGCCAGGACUGAUACGGGAGGCAGCAGAGAGGAAUAUGGGACGAUGGGGGGAAGCCUGAUGCAGCGUGGGCGCGUGAGGGAUGGAGGCCUUCGGGUUGUAAACCUCAUUCGCUAGUGAAGCAGGCCUCUCUCUUUUGUGAGUAGGUUGACGGUAGCUGGUUAAGAAGCGCCGGCUAACUACGUG
rnacentral:rRNA from 1 species